GACGAACGCUGGCGGCGUGCCUAAUACAUGCAAGUCGAGCGCAGGAAACUGACGGAACUCUUCGGAGGGAAGGCAGUGGAAUGAGCGGCGGACGGGUGAGUAACACGUAAGGAACCUGCCUCAAGGAUUGGGAUAACUCCGAGAAAUCGGAGCUAAUACCGGAUAGUUCAACGGACCGCAUGGUCCGCUGAUGAAAGGCGCUCCGGCGUCACCUUGAGAUGGCCUUGCGGUGCAUUAGCUAGUUGGUGGGGUAACGGCGCACCAAGGCGACGAUGGAUAGCGGACCGGGGAGGGUGAUCGGCCACACUGGGACUGGGACACGGCCCAGACUCCUACGGGAGGCAGCAGUAGGGAAUCUUCCACAAUGGACGAAAGUCUGAUGGAGCAACGCCGCGUGAGUGAUGAAGGUUUUCGGAUCGUAAAACUCUGUUGUAAGGGAAGAACACGUACGAGAGGAAAUGCUCGUACCUUGACGGUACCUUACGAGAAAGCCACGGCUAACUACGUGCCAGCCGCCGCGGUAA
rnacentral:rRNA from 1 species